ACAUGGUCGAUGCGGAUCAAAAUGUAGUAUCUGUUCUUAUCAGCUUAAUAUCUCAUACAGGUUGUAUUUUGAUUCAAGAUAUUAAACUUAUUUUUGCAAGUUGGUGGAGUGCUUUAAGCCUGCUUUACCUCCGCUGUGGGUCGGCCCCAUAUUCCACUAUCUCCGGGAUCGGCCCACGAUUU